AUCUUGAAUCACACACUCGGGCUACACUAAAGAGUAAACCUGCCUAUGUAGGUCAUCACAACAAAAGGUUUGGGGUUAAUGAGGGUCAGGGUAAGGUUACCUAACUUAACCCAAAACCUAACCCUCCCCUGACCCUGAGUCAGGGGUGGUAACACGUGGGGGGGCCGUGGUGGGCCAGGCGAGGGUUAGGGUUGAGUUGGUUCAGGGGUAGGGUACGGUAAGGCUGUUCACCUGGUCUCCACAGCGUAUGGUCUGGUGGGCGGGAGGCAGGUGUCCGCUGCAGGACAUCAGCGUGGUGACGGUGGACCCAGGGGACACUGGACGCUCUUCGUCCCAAUCCAUCCUGGACGUCACAGAGCUCAAAGUUCAGCUGCUGCGCUCACACUCUCGUUACCUAGGCGAUGUAAACACCACCACUGCUAUGCUGCUAUACAUAUGUUUGGAGAAGGAACCUAGACCCCGACCUCUGCCGCCCAAUCUGAACCUCAUUGCCAGCAGCCCCCCACACCCGCACAAGAAACCCACCGGACGUCAUGCUCUUCAUAGUUGAUAUUGUUCAGAUAAAUUACGUAUGUUUGUACUCAUAUCAAUAUACUUAUGUUAUUCUACAUGAACAGAGAAAUAUGGAAGAAUCUCAAACAAUGAUUUCAAUAAAAAGUUUUAAUUAAGACAG
ensembl:lncRNA